CUGAUUUCAAGAUUUAUUAUAAAGCUACAGUCGUCAGGACAGUAUGAUAUUAACAUUAAAAUAGACAAAUGCAUCAGUAGGACAGAAAAAAGAGCACAGAAAUAGAACCACACAAAUAUGAAAAACUGAUUUUUUAUACACGAGAAAAGGCAAUUCGGUGGUGAAAGUAAAGUCUUUUCAGCAAAUAAGACUAAAACAAUCUGAUACCUUUAUAUGAAAAAAAUGAACUUGUAUCCAUACUUGCACCAUAUACAAAAUUUAACUUAAAAUGAAUCACAGACCUAAAUGUAAAACAUAAGACUGUAACACUUUUAGAGGAAAAUCUUUAUGACCCUAGGUUAGGUAAAGAUUUUUCAGAUACCACACCAAAAGCAUAAUCCAUGACAGAAUAAAAAUAAUAAAUUAGACUUCAUCAAAAUUAAGAACUUCUCUUUGAAAGGCACUGUUAAUAAUAAAAUAAGCCACAGAGGAGAAAAAUUUGCCAAUUAUAUAUCUGAAAAAGCACUUGUACCCAAAUUAUAUACAAAGAACUCUCAAACUCAACAAUAGUAUACUAACACAAAUUUUUUUCUUUUCUUUUCUUCUCUUUUUUUUUUUUCUGGAAACAGGGUCUCACUCUGACGCCCAGGCUGGAGUGCAGUGGUGUGAUCAUAGCUCACUGUAACCUCAGACUCUUGGGACUCAAGUGAUAUUCCUGCCUCAGCCUCCUAAGUAGCUGGAACUACAGGUACAGGCCACCACGCCUGGCUAUUUGUGUGUGUGUGUGUAGAGGCAUGGUCUUGCUAUGUUGCCCAGGUGUGGUGGCAUGCACCUAUCGUCCAGCUGAGGUGGGAGGAUCACUUGAGCACAGGGGUUUGAGGCUGCAGUGAGCCAUGAUUGUGCCACUGCACUCUAGCCUGGGUGACAGAGCAAGACCCUGUCUUGAGAAAAAUAUAUAUAUGUGAGGUUUGCAGCCAGGCGCAGUGGCUCAUG
rnacentral:lncRNA from 1 species